AAUUUUAUUCUACAAUAACUAGCUAGAACUAAUUGAAAGUGGACGUUAGUUUCCUCCAAAGUUUCUAGCCAGAGCUUGAGAUGUUUCCACCUCCAAUUUCUAUCCUCUCUGUUGUUUGUGUCUCUAUUACCCAUCUAUUACUUUUCUGAAUUUUUGUGUAAAUGAACUGAAAGUGUUAAAUGAAAAUAUAGACUCUCUUGUUCCUACCCUUAAUUUUUUUUUCUAUUACAUUAAAAUAGUAUCUUUAGACUUUAAUGAAUGAAUAUUUGAUUUUUAUUAAGUCGUGAAAGGAUAUCUAUUUUUUAGCAAGAGGGAGAGAAAAAUAAAUAUAUAAAAAUAGGAUAAUAAAUUUUAAGGAAUAAAGAUUGAAUAACAAUUUUUUUAACAAAACUGUGUUUUUGCACUAAUUUAUAUAAAUAGUUCUACAUUUGGAUUAACUCAUUCUAUACAAAUGCAGGCAAUGAUGAUUUUGUUAUAUAUCUAGAACUCCAAAAAAAUAGACAAAUUUAAUGUUUUUCAUCUUAAAUUUUUCAUCUUUCGGGUAAGAAAUCAUCUUGGUCUUAUUUUGUAUCCAUAUAUCUCACAUACUCCUUACAAUUAAGAGAUCUUGAAUUUGUGUAUGUGUCAUUCUUAGUUGUAAUAGCUUGAUGGGCGAAGAGGAAGAUGAUAGGCCAUCCAAGCCUUCUACAUCGAUUUCACCGACCCAAGUAUGGUGCACAUUGUUCAUUUCGAUAUCUCAAAAUGUCUGGUAUUUCUAUUUAAUUAACAUAUUUUUUAUUGUUGUAUUAUAGGGCUAUCAUGGUCCCGUAAAUCCAUAUUGCCUGACAUAUUUCAUGGCACUAAAUACAUAUUUAAAUCCAUAUCCGUAUCAUUGGAGUAGCCAGCAUCCAUCGAUGCCACCUGUUGGACUGACUAUGCCAUACCCUCCGUUGAGUAAUCCGGAAGAGUUGAGAAGAUUUCAAGAAACUAGCCAGCAUCCCGUGAUGCCAUAACCUCAUUUGAGUAAUCUAGAUGAGUUAAAAAGAUUUCAAGAGACUAGCCAGCAACCAUAUUUGCCAACUGUUGGACUGACUAUGCCAUACCCUCCGUUGAGUAGUCCGGAGGUGUUGAGAAGAUUUCAAGAGAGUAGCCAGGUACAU